rnacentral:rRNA from 1 species
UACGGAGGGUGCAAGCGUUACUCGGAAUCACUGGGCGUAAAGGAUGCGUAGGCUGGAAAUCAAGUCGAGAGUGAAAUCCAACGGCUCAACCGUUGAACUGCUCUCGAAACUGGUUACCUAGAAUAUGGGAGAGGUAGAUGGAAUUAGUGGUGUAGGGGUAAAAGCCGGAGAUAUCACUAGGAAUACCGAUUGCGAAGGCGAUCUACUGGAACAUUAUUUACGCGGAGGCAUUAACGCGUGGGGCGCCAACAGGAUUCGAUCCCCCUGGAGUCC